UCCGGGAUAGCUCAGUUGGCAGAGCACGGCACUGUUAAUGCUGUUGUCGCAGGUUCGAGCCCUGCUCCCGGAGCCA
rnacentral:tRNA from 1 species